UACAGAGGUCUCAAGCGUUGUUCGGAUUCAUUGGGCGUAAAGGGUGCGUAGGCGGCGCGGUAAGUCGGGUGUGAAAUCUUGGAGCUUAACUCCGAAACUGCAUUCGAUACUGCCGUGCUUGAGGACUGGAGAGGAGACUGGAAUUUACGGUGUAGCGGUGAAAUGCGUAGAUAUCAUGAGGAAUACCAGAGGCGAAGGCGGCUACCUGGACAAUUGCUGACGCUCAGGCACGAAAGCGUGGGGAGCAAAAGGG
rnacentral:rRNA from 1 species